AUACGGAGGAUCCGAGCGUUAUCCGGAUUUAUUGGGUUUAAAGGGUGCGCAGGCGGCCAUUUAAGUCAGCGGUUAAAUCGUGGGGCUCAACCCCAUUCUGCCGUUGAUACUGGGUGGCUUGAUUGCGGUCGAGGUUGGCGGAAUUCGUUGUGUAGCGGUGAAAUGCAUAGAUAUGACGAAGAACACCGAUUGCGUAGGCAGCUGACCAGAUCGCAAAUGACGCUCAUGCACGAAAGUGCGGGGAUCGAACAGGAUUAGAUACCCUGGUAGUCCACACAGUAAACGAUGAAUACUCGCUGUUUGCGAUAUACAGUAAGCGGCCAAGCGAAAGCAUUAAGUAUUCCACCUGGGGAGUACGCCGGCAACGGUGAAACUCAAAUGAAUUGGCGGGG
rnacentral:rRNA from 1 species